CAUAUAGUGGCCGUCUGUGACGGUGUCGGAGCUUCCAAACCGUUGCCCAUUGCCACCCUCCGCCACUGUAUGCCAAUGAUCAGUUUUCCCAGUUUGGAGCUUAUUCCCCCUGUCACCUUUAAACUGUGCUCGGGUAAAGGACCUGUGUUCAUCUCUGCUCAGCAUAUAACAUUGAAUCCCAUUGAGAUGACAGAGGGGGAGGAGGAUGAUGAUGAGGAUGAAGAUGAUUAAAUGCCAAUCAUGAGAGCUUAUUUUGACCGUUUGAACCAUAAUGGGUCCUGUGGGACAGUGAUUGUGCCAGUAUUUGUUACUGAAGCAUCACAGUGUUUGUCAACAUUAAAAAACUAUUAACUUCAAGUGUUUUAAUGCUAAUGAAAGACAGAGUAAUAAAAUAUGAGUCUCAGAGUGUAAAUAAUACCACACGAUUUUAUCGGAUGUAUUUUUCCCUAUAUGUAGACCGAGAUGCAUACCUACUUGUACACAAAAUGUUUAAUAAAACAUGCAUUUGACUUGAAGUGAGAAAUAGAGUACAUACUGGUGGUGAAGUAUUUGUGAAUCCUACUUAUGGCAGCAUGUUAAUUAUAAAAUAAAUGUUAUGAUUUCUAGCUUGAUGAGGGUAUAACAUCCUGACAGAGUUUAUAUGAGCUGUUGCUAGGAAACAGUCACGCAUCUAA